GACGAACGCUGGCGGCGUGCUUAACACAUGCAAGUCGAACGGAAAGGCCCUUCGGGGUACUCGAGUGGCGAACGGGUGAGUAACACGUGGGUGAUCUGCCCUGCACUUUGGGAUAAGCCUGGGAAACUGGGUCUAAUACCGAAUAGGACCACGCGCUUCAUGGUGUGUGGUGGAAAGCUUUUGCGGUGUGGGAUGGGCCCGCGGCCUAUCAGCUUGUUGGUGGGGUAAUGGCCUACCAAGGCGACGACGGGUAGCCGGCCUGAGAGGGUGACCGGCCACACUGGGACUGAGAUACGGCCCAGACUCCUACGGGAGGCAGCAGUGGGGAAUAUUGCACAAUGGGCGCAAGCCUGAUGCAGCGACGCCGCGUGAGGGAUGGCGGCCUUCGGGUUGUAAACCUCUUUCACCAGGGACGAAGCGUAAGUGACGGUACCUGGAGAAGAAGCACCGGCCAACUACGUG
rnacentral:rRNA from 1 species